rnacentral:lncRNA from 1 species
CACCCUUUCCGUCACCUUCUCCAUUAUCCUCUUCAUCACCCGAUCUAUCAACCAAUCGCUUGCUUACUAUUUCACCUCCUCAUCUUUAAGUUCUAUGAAGUAGCGACCUAGCGCUCCAAUAUCAUGAGAUAAAUCAUCUACCUUGCCUUUCACUCUCGUGGCAACUCGCCUACAUUCUCUCGCAACCUGCCCAUCUCCUCAGCU